UACGAAGGGGGCUAGCGUUGCUCGGAAUCACUGGGCGUAAAGGGUGCGUAGGCGGGUCUUUAAGUCAGAGGUGAAAUCCUGGAGCUCAACUCCAGAACUGCCUUUGAUACUGAAGAUCUUGAGUUCGGGAGAGGUGAGUGGAACUGCGAGUGUAGAGGUGAAAUUCGUAGAUAUUCGCAAGAACACCAGUGGCGGAGGCGGCUCACUGGCCCGAUACUGACGCUGAGGCACGAAAGCGUGGGGAGCAAACAGG
rnacentral:rRNA from 1 species